AGCUCAAAUUUGAAAUGCUGGCGUCCUUCGGCGCGUCCGCAUUGUAAUCUAUAGAGGCGUUUUCUGUGCUGGACCGUGUCCAAGUCCCUUGGAACAGGGUAUCAAAGAGGGUGACAAUCCCGUACUUGACACGACAACCAGUGCUCUGUGAUACGUCUUCUACGAGUCGAGUUGUUUGGGAAUGCAGCUCAAAAUGGGUGGUGAAUUCCAUCUAAAGCUAAAUAUUGGCGAGAGACCGAUAGCGAACAAGUACCGUGAGGGAAAGAUGAAAAGCACUUUGGAAAGAGAGUUAAACAGUAUGUGAAAUUGUUGAAAGGGAAACGAUGGAGGUCAGUCGUGUCUGUGGGAUUCAGCCGUCUCUGGCGGUGUACUUCCCACAGACGGGUCAACAUCAGUUUUGGUCGGCGGAUAAAGGCAGGAGGAAGGUGGCACCCUCGGGUGUGUUAUAGCCUCUUGUUGCAUACGCUGGCCGAGACUGAGGAAUGCAGCUCGCCUUUAUGGCCGGGGUUCGCCCACGU
rnacentral:rRNA from 1 species